GAUGAACGCUGACAGAAUGCUUAACACAUGCAAGUCUACUUGAAUUUGGGUUUUUUAACUUAGAUUUGGGUGGCGGACGGGUGAGUAACGCGUAAAGAACUUGCCUCACAGUUAGGGACAACAUUUGGAAACGAAUGCUAAUACCUGAUAUUAUGAAUAUAUGGCAUCAUAUCAUUAUGAAAGCUAUACGCGCUGUGAGAGAGCUUUGCGUCCCAUUAGCUAGUUGGAGAGGUAACGGCUCACCAAGGCGAUGAUGGGUAGCCGGCCUGAGAGGGUGAACGGCCAACAGGGGACUGAGACACGGCCCUUACUCAUACGGGAGGCAGCAGUGGGGAAUAUUGGACAAUGGACCAAGAGUCUGAUCCAGCAAUUCUGUGUGCACGAUGACGUUUUUCGGAAUGUAAAGUGCUUUCAGUUGGGAAGAAAAAAAUGACGGUACCAACAGAAGAAGUGACGGCUAAAUACGUG
rnacentral:rRNA from 1 species